rnacentral:sRNA from 1 species
GAAUGUCCGUGGUUCUGGUUGAG